GAUGAAGAACGUAGUAAAAUGCGAUAAGUAAUGUGAAUUGCAGAAUUCAGUGAAUCAUCGAAUCUUUGAACGCACAUUGCGCCCGCCAGUAUUCUGGCGGGCAUGCCUGUUCGAGCGUCAUUUCAACCCUCAAGCCCUCGGGUUUGGUGUUGGGGAUCGGCGAGCCUUUCUGGCAAGCCGGCCCCGAAAUCUAGUGGCGGUCUCGCUGCAGCCUCCAUUGCGUAGUAGUAAAACCCUCGCAACUGGAACGCGGCGCGGCCAAGCCGUUAAACCCCCAACUUCUGAAUGUUGACCUCGGAUCAAGUAGGAAUACCCGCUGAACUUAAGCAUAUCAAUAAGCGGAGGA
rnacentral:misc_RNA from 1 species